AACGAACGCUGGCGGCGUGGAUAAGACAUGCAAGUCGAGCGCGAAUUCUGGUGUAGCAAUACAUCAGAGUUUGAGCGGCGCAAGGGUGCGUAACACGUGGGUAAUUUGCCGUGAAGUUGGGGAUAACUCGCUGAAAGGCGAGCUAAUACCGGAUGUGGUUAUGGGGUGGCAUCACCUGAUAACUGAAGCUGGGGAUCGUAAGACCUGGCGCUUCAUGAUAAGCCCGCGGCCUAUCAGCUAGUUGGUGAGGUAACGGCUCACCAAGGCUAAGACGGGUAGCUGGUCUGAGAGGACGACCAGCCACACUGGAACUGAGACACGGUCCAGACACCUACGGGUGGCAGCAGUCGAGAAUUUUUCUCAAUGGGCGCAAGCCUGAAGGAGCGACGCCGCGUGGGGGAUGAAGGGUUUCGAUCCGUAAACCCCUGUCAUUCGUGAACAAUGCUCAUUAUUUAAAAGAUGAUGAGUUGAUAGUAACGGAAGGA
rnacentral:rRNA from 1 species